rnacentral:rRNA from 1 species
GACGAACGCUGGCGGCGUGCCUAAUACAUGCAAGUCGGACGCAGUUGCGAACGGGUGAGUAACGCGUCUGUAACUACCUAUUAGAGGGGGAUAACUAUUGGAAACGAUAGCUAAUACCGCAUACUAGUAGAUGGACCUGCGUUGUAUUAGCUAGUAGGUAGGGUAAUGGCCUACCUAGGCAACGAUACAUAGCCGACCUGGGAGGGGGGUCGGGCAACACGGGACUGGGGAACAGCCCAGGAUCCUGCGGGAGGGCGCAGGAGGGAAUCUUCGGCAAUGGGGGGAAAGCUGGCCGAGCAACGGCGGGGUAGUGGAAGAAGUUUUCGGAUCGUAAAAGUCUGUUGUUCAGGGAGCGGUACUUAACCAGAAAGGAACGGCUAACUACGUGCCAGCAGCCGCGGUAAUUC